GUUUUAAUAAUUUAAUAAAAAUAUUAGUCUUGUAAACUAAACUUAAGUUCCACUUUUAAAACU
rnacentral:tRNA from 1 species